ensembl:lncRNA
CGCGCACGUUUAACUGGACUGUCUGCCUACAUUAUGGCUGAACUAAGAUGACUUGUCUCGAAAACACAGGGAAACUCUUUGAGCAAUUGUCGUCACUCCGACUCCAUCUCCCAUGUUGUUGAUAAACUCGGGGAUUUGCUUUUCCACAUGGGCACGUUCUCUUCCAAGCUCUCCAGGAGAAACAUUGUGACCGUGAAGCCCAAAGAGUCCGAUGACGGCAGAGCGAACCGGGACCUGACCGAGAGCCAGACUCGGGUCAUUAAAAAUGCAGUUCAGAGGGUCAGCCGGGAAGUUCAGAGGGCGUCUGUCAUCACCGAGGGAGGCGACUCUGUUCACUCCAUGAUUGCGAUGCAGCCCGGCUCUCGGGCCCUCAGGCACAGGUGGGGCUCAGUGAGGGGCCAGAGCCGAGGACUGGCUGGAAGGGAUGUGCUCAUGGCCAAAGAUCCCAGAAUUAGGCAGAAGUACAAAAGCACAUCUCAAAGAUUGAGAUGUCUGGUGAAGCAGCUGGAUAAGGGGGAGGUGAAUGUCGUAGAUCUGAGGAAAAACAUUGAAUAUGCUGCAUCAGUUCUGGAAGCAGUGUACAUUGACGAAACUAGGCGGCUUCUGGACACAGAGGAUGAGCUCAGUGAUAUCCAGGCAGACUCUGUGCCCAUGGAGGUGCGAGAUUGGCUGGCCUCCACCUUCACCAGGAAGAUGGGAGUGGUGCGCAGACGGCCAGAAGAAAAGCCCCGGUUCCGCAGCAUCGUUCACGCUGUUCAGGCUGGGAUCUUUGUUGAACGAAUGUACAGAAGAACAUCCAACAUGGCAGGGUUGACCUAUCCGCCAUCUGUAAUUACAGCUCUUAAGGAUGUUGAUAAAUGGUCAUUUGACGUCUUCACGCUUCAAGAGGCGAGUAGUGAACACGCUCUGAAGUUCCUGGUGUAUGAACUGCUCACCAGAUACGACCUGAUCAGCCGCUUUAGGAUACCAGUGUCCUCCUUGGUGUUAUUUGUGGAAGCUCUGGAAAUAGGCUACAGCAAGCACAGAAACCCUUACCACAAUCUGAUCCACGCUGCCGAUGUCACGCAGACAGCACACUAUCUGAUGCUUCACACUGGCAUUAUGCACUGGCUCACUGAACUGGAAAUAUUGGCCAUGGUGUUUGCUGCUGCUAUCCACGACUUUGAACACACUGGAACCACCAAUAACUUCCACAUCCAGACCAGAUCAGAAGUGGCCAUCCUGUACAACGAUCGCUCGGUUCUGGAAAACCACCACGUGAGCGCAGCCUACAGACUCAUGCAAGAAGAUGAGAUGAACAUCCUGGUCAACCUCUCGAAGGAUGACUGGAGGUACCUGCGUACGUUGGUGAUCGAGAUGGUCAUGAGCACAGAUAUGUCCUGCCAUUUCCAGCAGAUCAAGACGAUGAGGAACGUGCUGCAGCAGCCGGAGGGAAUAGACAAGGCCAAAGCGCUGUCCCUGAUGCUGCAUGCGGCUGAUAUCAGCCAUCCCGCUAAGGGCUGGAAACUGCACUACCGCUGGACACAAGCCCUCAUGGAGGAGUUCUUCAGACAGGUUUCUAAACAAAUACCUUUUUUUUUUUUCUUCAAAGGGUUCAUUGAUUUCAUCGUGGAGCCCACAUUCUCUGUUCUGGUCGACACCACAGAGAAGAUCAUUAGUCCUCUCAUAGAGGAAGCUGUAAAAUCUGGGGGUGUCCGCAGGUCAAGUUUGACGGGUCGGGGCUCGGCUGCGGUGGUGGAGUCAGUACAGAGACACAGCGGUCGGGGUUCGAAUGACGAGCAGGGAGGCACUACAGAUUACUCACUGGGCAACCUCGACUUGAAACAAGUCCGACACCUGCUCUGUGAGAUCAUCCAGAACAACAAGGAGCGCUGGAAAGAGCUGUCUGUUCAAGGUCUGCACACAUCUGAUUGUGUUUCUGUUCCCUAUUCACUAUACACUCCAACUCGCUCAUUGCAAAUAAAUAAAUAA